UACGUAGGGCGCAAGCGUUAUCCGGAAUUAUUGGGCGUAAAGAGCUCGUAGGCGGUUUGUCGCGUCUGCUGUGAAAGACCGGGGCUCAACUCCGGUUCUGCAGUGGGUACGGGCAGACUAGAGUGAUGUAGGGGAGACUGGAAUUCCUGGUGUAGCGGUGAAAUGCGCAGAUAUCAGGAGGAACACCGAUGGCGAAGGCAGGUCUCUGGGCAUUAACUGACGCUGAGGAGCGAAAGCAUGGGAGCGAACAGG
rnacentral:rRNA from 1 species